rnacentral:rRNA from 1 species
AGAGUUUGAUCCUGGCUCAGAACUAACGCUGGCGGCGUGGCUUAGGCAUGCAAGUCGAACGGCAAAGUCCGCAAGGACGUGUAAGUGGCGAAAGGGUGAGUAGUACUCAGGCAAUCUGCCCCUGGGACGGGGAUAGCCGCGGGAAACUGCGGGUAAUACCGGAUGGUCUCGCGAGGGCUUCGGCCCAUGCGAGUAAAGGGUGGGGAUCCGCAAGGACCUUCCGCCCGGGGAGGAGCUUGAGCCCUAUCAGGUAGUUGGCGGGGUAACGGCCCACCAAGCCUACGACGGGUACCCGGACUGAGAGGUUGGCCGGGCACACUGGCACUGAGACACUGGCCAGACUCCUACGGGAGGCUGCAGUCGAGAAUCUUCCGCAAUGGGGGCAACCCUGACGGAGCGACGCCGCGUGGAGGAAGAAGGCCCUCGGGUUGUAAACUCCUGUCACGACUUACGAAUGCGCACGGCAUAACAACCGUGCGUUGACGAAGGGUCGGAAGGAAGCCACAGCUAACUUCGUGCCAGCAGCUGCGGUAAGACGAAGGUGGCAAGCGUUGUUCUGAUUCACUGGGCAUAAAGGGCGCGUAGGCGGUUCCGAAAGUGGCAUGUGAAAUCCUCUGGCUCAACCAGAGAAGUGCGUGCCAAACUUCGGUUCUAGAGGAUGGUAGGGGGGAACUGGGAACUCUCGGUGGAGCGGUGAAAUGCGUAGAUUAUCGAGAGGAACACCGGUGGCGAAGGCGAGUCCCUGGGUCCAUCACUGACGCUGAGGCGCGAAAAGCGUGGGUUAGCAAAACAGGAUU